CCCACCGGACUUGUCCUCGGGGAGUUCGGGCCUACCCUGUCCUGCCGUUGGCUGGGGUGACCACCUCAUCCCCAGGCAAGCCCUCCCUGUCCACCCUCGGCCGCAGAGCUGCCCCUCCCCGCUGGGCUCCGGGCGCCCCCGCUCCAUCCCGCUCCAGAGUCCCAGCUGCCCUCGGGGAACGUGGGAGGAGCGGAGGAAGCUCCUCUGGGCUGUCACGGAGCCUUCCCCGUCUUUUCCUCAAACGUCUGCCCGCUGAGCACGAAGUAGAUGGCUGCCGUUGAGGAAUCCUUCCUCCCCCGUCUCAUUCUGAUGGCUCAGGAGGUGGCCGCGGGACCAUGAGACCCUCUUUGCUACACAGGCCCACAGCCAGUCGAGUGCUUGCAGCAGCCCGCACCUUGGGGACGCUGUCUGUGGCCAGCAAGGCCCCCGACCGUCUUUAUCAGGACCCAGAGGGUUGGCUCCUUACCUUCCUCCGCCCCUCAGCUGCCUCCAGCCGCUUCUGCAGCUCCUCCAGGGAGGCGUCCUUCCUCUUGGGGGGGGAGGAGAGCAUGGGACUCUCCGGGGAAAGGUCGGAAGGGGAUUUGAGGAUGACCUCAAAGCUCUGGCCGGAGGCCCUCUUGUCCAGCUGCUUCACCUCCAUGUCUGCAGGGCAAGAGCAGACGGGGGCUUCAGGAGGGCUGCUCAAGGAGGGGGCAAGCCGAGCACACACCCAAGUCAAGGUCUGAGAGGAGGGCUGGGACUCCCAGGACCGGCCCCUCCCCACAGGGACCUCUCUCCGGAAGGCAGCCAAGCGGGGGUGCACAGACGCCACGGGAGGGGGUAGCGAGGUCAGGGCAGCAGCCGGGCACACUCACCCCCAUACUGGUAGACGGUGUUGGGGUGCGGCUGUGAGUAGAAGCAGGAGCAGAGGAGUGACAGCACCGACAGCUCCUUCAUCUUCUUGUAGGCUGUGGGCGUGAGGCCGGCCUGAGCAGGCGCCGUCCCAUUGCACCUCCAGCCCCACCUCCCUGGAUGCCCAGGCCUCCCUGCCUCUGUCCCCGUUGCUGCCCCCUUGCGCCUGUCUGGGAGCCUGUUUACCUUGUUCUUUUGUGUCCCACAUCUCUGACUCUCUCCGUCCCUCCCUCCCUCCCAGAUGUUGGCUGUCUUUCCCUGGGCACGCCUCCCUGUGGGUGUCCUGCAUUGGUCUUUCUGUUCCUGUCUCUGAGUCCCUGCCCCCCUCGCUCUGUCUGUCUCUGCCCCUCUCUCCCUCCUUUUCUCUCUCUUGGCAUUUCUGUCUGUGUCUCCGUUCAUCCUUCUGUCUUUCUGGCUCUCCAUCUGUCACUACCUCUCUUUAUAUCUUUACGUCUCCAUGAUUCUUUGUCACUGUGUAUCUUCCCGACUCUCCCUUCCCCCUGCCCCUCCGCGUACUUCUCCUUCCUCCCCUUUCGCUCUCGUGGACACUUGCCCGGUUGGUGGAGAGGUUAACCACCACACUGGUGACUGGGCCAGCACAAAUGGAGAGCUUCUGCAGGCAGCACUUUCUUGGCUGUGCACUUAGGUGAAGCCCUCAGACCCUCCUGUCUGCCCCCCAGCCCACCCCCCAUUUACCCUGUAGUGCGCCCACCGUGGGAUGAAAUCUGGUUCUCACCAGACACGCACUGGCGGCUCAUCAAAAGCCAAAGGGACGGGAGCUGUCCGUUCAGCACCACAGCCCGCCCUCUGGCCUUGCAGGGUGAGUGCCCACAGCCAGUGUCCACACUACCCAACCAGAAAAGGAGCAAGCCAGGCCCCAAAGUAGACACAUGGGUCUGAUGUCUCACUGGCUCUCAAGAAUCCUGUAUGCCCAAUACUGUCACCCCCACUCCACCAAGAGGACACUGGGCCCAGGUAGCUGGGUGACUUGUUCAAAGCUCCUCCAGGGCAACCCCAGGUGGUCUGUGUUCUUUCCACCACUGCAGUAGGUCCCAGACUUGGGGGCUCAGACCCAUGCACCUGCCUCCCUGGCUGGAGAAGCUAGUAUAGGUCUCUAGAGAGAUACUCCACGGAGAGCGACUCUGGCUUCCAUGAAAGAGCAUGCAUAGUUACCCACAGCAUUCUUCCAAGGGGCAGACAGGUUGGACAAGAAACUCUCUGAUGAAAUUUCACUCAAGAUAAUGUUUUUAAAUUGAUUUCACGUAAAACUGGGGAAAGUGCUUGUGUAGAAACAGUACACAGGACAGAAGUGACUAGGCCCUGUCUGAGAGAACAGCUUGCUGUGAGCGGGGUCCUCCAACAACCAAUGCAGAGAAUGAUGUUAUUUGAUCUAAGUGUCCUGAUGACCCAGACUCUUCCGGAGAGAGCCCGAGAAGUUGUGACGGGAGCACAGAGGAAUCCUGAGCAAGAAGCAGGGAGAGCCUUUGGGGUCUUGGAGGAGACGCAGGGCGAAGACACAUGACUUGGUCAUUGGCUCAGGAGUGUGGGAGGGAGGGCCAGGUAGGGGUGGGCCUCAAAGGGGAUUUUGGCCUGACUUGUCGAUUUUGCUUUUUCACAAGCAGAAUCUACUCGCGUAUUACGUAUGUCAUUAAAAGUUAACUUUAGAAAGGAGGCUGAGGGGUACCUCCCAGGAUGUGUGCUUGGGAGUUAGAGGAGGCAGGACCAGGCAGAGCGGCUCUCCAGGAACAGCAGAGCAGGAGAUAUUUGGACUCUUGCAGAGGCUGGGGAGGUAGCCAGGCCUGUGCUCAGAAGGGAAGGUGGGGCAGGGAGUGAGAGGGAGUCUGGUCAGGGGCCUAGCUGGGUCCUGGGAGAGGCCAGGGAGGAGGGGCCUCAGUCUAACCCUGCCAGCACCCACCACUCUGGCAAUAGACACCAGCCCCCUACCCUGACCUUUCAGAGAGUCCUUUCUCAGCCCCUGUUAAAACCUCUGAAAGAGUUUACCUUACAGGCCAGGAACCUGGGGCCUCACAGCUGCUCAAGGCCCUCUCUGCCUCAAGCCUGAGAUUUUCCCAGGAAAAGGGUUGCAAAUUAAUAACAGAGGAAUUUUACAGACAAAUGCCAGGGGCUCCCUUCCAGGCAGCUGUCACCUCAGCCUGGAGGGGGGCUGGUGGCAAUUCAGGGGCAGGAGGGGGAGCUUGGGCAGGUGUGAGUGUAGGCAGGUGAGAGGGGAGAGGGCUGGGGGCUCAAGACUGAGGUCAGAGUCUCCGAGGUCAUGGCUCUGCCCAGGGGACAAGGGUCCAACUGGGAAGUGAAGGACUAUGUCCCGCGGCUGCAAACAGGGAUGCAGCUUGGCGUCUGGUGGUCGUGGAGAUCCCCUGGGUUGGUGGCCUAUGAGGACCUUCCUUCUCAGAAGACCCUUCCUCAAGAAGCCCAGUGGGAAGGGGCAACUCCCCAGGAGGGGGCUUGGGAGUGAGGCCUGCGCUGUCGUCUGGUUGCAAGUCAGAGGGGACGGCAUGGUGGGUGGGGAACCGGCAAGUUUGGAGACAGUGAGCAGGGGGCAGCCUGCACCGGGGUUGGAGAUCAGGGCUGGGCCCAGCCACAUGCAAGACGGGAGGGUACGCCUGUAUUUUCAGAGCCGGAGGGGCUUAAAGUUCCUCUCAUUGCAGAGCGAAGAGGUGGAGGCCCAGACCUCUCCACAGACAUAGCUCCAGCCAGGAAGUGGGGCCUCGAGGCACGCCCUCCCUUUUCUCUCCUCACCAGGACCCUCUCUUCCGUCCCCAUCACUGACUUAAGAAAGUCAUUAAAAACAAAUCUCCACCGUGAA